rnacentral:rRNA from 1 species
GAGGGAAAUUGGGCCAUUGGCGGAAGCCUUAAACCGGCCAGUUCCCGUAAAGGAGGACGGCUUUAUGGUUUGUAACCUCCUUUUUUACGGAAUUAAAAAGGCUAACUGUUGGCCAUUUCCAGUACUUUAUGAAUAAGCCAUCGCCAACCUCCGUGCCAGCAGCCGCGGUAAUACGGAGGAUGCGAGCGUUAUCCGGAUUUAUUGGGUUUAAAGGGUGCGCAGGCGGGCUUUUAAGUCAGCGGUGAAAUCUGGACGCUUAACGUCCAAACUGCCGUUGAAACUGGGAGUCUUGAGUAUGGAUGAAGUAGGCGGAAUUCGUUGUGUAGCGGUGACAUGCAUAGAUAUAACGAGGAACUCCGAUUGCGUAGGCAGCUUACUAAGCCAUAACUGACGCUCAUGCACGAAAGCGUGGGGAGCAAACA